rnacentral:rRNA from 1 species
AUUGAACGCUGGCGGCAGGCUUAACACAUGCAAGUCGAGCGAAGUGAUGGUGCUUGCACUAUCACUUAGCGGCGGGCGGGUGAGUAAUGCUUAGGAAUCUGCCAUUUAGUGGGGGACAACAUUCCGAAAGGAAUGCUAAUACCGCAUACGUCCUACGGGAGAAAGCAGGGGAUCUUCGGACCUUGCGCUAAAUGAUGAGCCUAAGUCGGAUUAGCUAGUUGGUGGGGUAAAGGCCUACCAAGGCGACGAUCUGUAGCGGGUCUGAGAGGAUGAUCCGCCACACUGGGACUGAGACACGGCCCAGACUCCUACUGGAGGCAGCAGUGGGGAAUAUUGGACAAUGGGCGGAAGCCUGAUCCAGCCAUGCCGCGUGUGUGAAGAAGGCCUUUUGGUUGUAAAGCACUUUAAGCGAGGAGGAGGCUACUAGUACUAAUACUACUGGAUAGUGGACGUUACUCGCAGAAUAAGCACCGGCUAACUCUGUGCCAGCCGCCGCGGUAAAAC